CCUACGGGGGGCAGCAGUGGGGAAUAUUGGACAAUGGGCGAAAGCCUGAUCCAGCCAUGCCGCGUGUGUGAAGAAGGCCUUCGGGUUGUAAAGCACUUUCAGUGGGGAAGAAAGCCUUGGGGCUAAUACCCUCGAGGAAGGACAUCACCCACAGAAGAAGCACCGGCUAACUCCGUGCCAGCAGCCGCGGUAAUACGGAGGGUGCGAGCGUUAAUCGGAAUUACUGGGCGUAAAGCGCGCGUAGGCGGUCUGAUAAGCCGGUUGUGAAAGCCCCGGGCUCAACCUGGGAACGGCAUCCGGAACUGUCAGGCUAGAGUGCAGGAGAGGAAGGUAGAAUUCCCGGUGUAGCGGUGAAAUGCGUAGAGAUCGGGAGGAAUACCAGUGGCGAAGGCGGCCUUCUGGACUGACACUGACGCUGAGGUGCGAAAGCGUGGGUAGCAAACAGGAUUAGAUACCCCAGUAGCC
rnacentral:rRNA from 1 species